CGGUUCGCAGCACCACAGACGAUCAUUGACAAACUCAAGCACCACAUGUGAAAGUGCCAGCCGUGAGAUGGUGGCCUCAAUUACACCCAGCAGAACUAACAAGUGGCCGAAGAAAGGCGAUCAAGACAGGGAGGGUCUGGACACGGAAACUGAAAAUGAUCGGAGAAAGUGAGGUCGGAGACGCCUCAGGGAGCACUGUGGCAGCAGAGAGGACUCUGCCUGGAAUGCUGUUCCUCCGAAUCUCCCCUACUUGAAACAUUUCUCAUGCUUCAGAGACCACCCGAAGAGCCAUGUCCUCUGCUGAAAGCUUCUUCCCCCUCUUCUGAGUUCCUGUGGCUCUCAGUGCCUGUCCUCUGCACCGGAAGUUUGUCACCUACUUCUGGUAACACCGCCUCUUCUGCUAAGGUCCAGCUCAAAUGUCACCAGCUUAAUGAAUGUGUCCUCGAUUCCAUCAGAAUUAAUUCCUUCAACAGCAUCUACUGAGUGCCAAAGCUCACGUGGAUACAAAAUUAGAUCAGACCCAGUUCCUGCCCAGAGCCCAGAAAUAAUUACACAAUAGUGUUUGAUAAAUGCUCGAAUAGAGGUCUCCACGAGCGGUUAGUACACUGUAACUUUUCCUAGGGCAACUGGAGAAGGCUUUACAGAGGAGGUGACAUUUGCACUGUGUCUACGAGGAGGAGGAAGAGGAGUUCACA
rnacentral:lncRNA from 1 species